rnacentral:rRNA from 1 species
UACGGGGGGUGCAGGCGUUAAUCGGAAUUACUGGGCGUAAAGGGCGCGUAGGCGGCCUGCUAAGUCGGACGUGAAAUCCCCCGGCUCAACCGGGGAACUGCGUCCGAUACUGGUGGGCUCGAAUCCGGGAGAGGGAUGUGGAAUUCCAGGUGUAGCGGUGAAAUGCGUAGAUAUCUGGAGGAACACCGGUGGCGAAGGCGGCAUCCUGGACCGGCAUUGACGCUGAGGCGCGAAAGCCAGGGGAGCAAACGGG